UUUUUUACUUGGGAACAUUUGCUUUUGAAAUGUCCUGACUUUUUACAUUCGUAGCAUAUGACUUGUUCUUUCUUGGGUUUAAUUUUAUUUUUAGUGUCAUUUUUAGAUUUAUUUCUUUUUAUGAAUUUUUUGAACUUUCUUGUAAAGAAUGCCAAGUCAUCAUCAUAGUCCUUGAAUUUUCUUUUAAGUAGUCUUCAUGAG
rnacentral:lncRNA from 1 species